ensembl:snoRNA U3 Small nucleolar RNA U3
AAGACUAUACUUUCAGGGAUCAUUUCUAUAGUUUGUGACUUGAGAAAUGUGUUUUGAAAGUGUAUGUUCUCGCUGACCACGAUGAAGAGUUGUUGAUACUCCUUCCUGAGCAUGAAACAGACAGAGACCUGGUUUACUCCUGGUGUUUUGUCACUGAUGAUUGUUCACUGUGUCCUCUGGAGACAGUGAGGGGAGGAGUAUGAUCUGAGUGGU